rnacentral:lncRNA from 1 species
AUGAUUUCAUCCCCAUUCUCGCUAAAAAUCAACAACCCUUUCAGAAAUUUAUUUAUUUAUUUAGAGUAAAUUGCCAUUUUGGUCCCUGUGUUUCAUAUCUUUGAAGAACAAUUUCUGGAAUGUAUACACCAUCAUACACACGUACCUUUACAAUUCAUAAUAGAAAUUAAAAACUUUGAUCCAAGUCAGACACUGCGGACCGCAAUUGUAAGGCUUACAGUACGUAAUAGAUAACGUUUUAGUUGGCAUAUUCGUGCCUUUACACAUAAUAAGGCUUAGCCUAUGCACUGUUGGCACGAUUGAGCAUUGAUCUUAGUAUGCAUGUGAUAAUCAUUUGGUUGCUUAACGUGAUCGGAUACUUUGGUGAACAACCGUGUUUAUACUCAAGCCUGGUCAUCAUGGCUACUGAUAGAAGGGUACCCAAAGCUUAACGGAUGGAUAUUGAAGCUAAACGGGAGGUUUUCGGGAAGAUUUAUGAAGGUUAGAAGCUUACACACAAGUUAGGAGUUGAAAAAUGCGAAAAAUGGUGAGAAACCAGUACUUGGCGCAAGAAGAAACCAGUUUGGCGCAACCUUGUGUCAGUUUGGGCGCAAUACAGAUGCUAGUCAGUCAGGGGCGCAACCUUGUGCCGGGGGGGCGCAACCUUGCGCUGACAGCAGAUAGUCACGCGAAAAUUCAGGAUUUCACUUUAUUUUAAGAUAUCUUCAACCUCAAAACGAGAUAUUCCCUAACCCUAGCCGUUUUCCACUUCCCAAGGACGAAUUUUUGAGUUCCCAACCUCAAUUUUCAUCAAUCUUUC